CACAGUGUAGCAAUACAUGGGUGGCGACCGGCAAACGGGUGCGGAACACGUACGCAACCUUCCUUCAGGCGGGGAAUAGCCCAGAGAAAUUUGGAUUAAUACCCCAUAAUAUUUUGAGAUGGCAUCAUCUUAUUAUUAAAGCUACGGCACCUGGAGAUGGGCGUGCGGCUGAUUAGGUAGUUGGCGGGGUAAUGGCCCACCAAGCCUACGAUCAGUAGCUGAUGUGAGAGCAUGAUCAGCCACACGGGCACUGAGACACGGGCCCGACUCCUACGGGAGGCAGCAGUAAGGAAUAUUGGUCAAUGGACGCAAGUCUGAACCAGCCAUGCCGCGUGGAGGAUGAAGGUCCUCUGGAUUGUAAACUUCUUUUAUCUGGGACGAAAAAAGGGUUUUCUAACUCGUCUGACGGUACCAGAUGAAUAAGCACCGGCUAACUCCGUGCCAGCAGCCGCGGUAAUACGGAGGGUGCAAGCGUUAUCCGGAUUCACUGGGUUUAAAGGGUGCGUAGGCGGGCAUUUAAGUCAGUGGUGAAAUACCUGAGCUUAACUUGGGAACUGCCAUUGAUACUAUUUGUCUUGAAUGUCGUGGAGGUUAGCGGAAUAUGUCAUGUAGCGGUGAAAUGCUUAGAUAUGACAUAGAACACCUAUUGCGAAGGCAGCUAACUACGCGAAUAUUGACGCUGAGGCACGAAAGCGUGGGGAUCAAACAGGAUUAGAUACCCUGGCAGUCCACGCCCUAAACGAUGAUUACUCGACAUUAGCGAUACACUGUUAGUGUCUGAGCG
rnacentral:rRNA from 1 species